rnacentral:lncRNA from 1 species
UUGUGCCCAUAGACUACUCACAUAUAGUAUGUCUUGUCCCAAACUACGUUUCAAUCGCAUUAGUGUGGAGAAUCGUGCUCAAAGUAAAUUUAAUCAUGCGAGAUUAACGUUAACCAUGUCUACUGUGAUUUGGAUCGUAUAUUUGGAGGACAACGCGCCUCCUCCACAACAAUGAGGAGGGCUGCCUUAUUUUCAAAUAAAUAUGGUGAUAUAGCCGAUUAUUGACCGUAUGGUAAUUAUUAGGGAUAAAUUUAUCUUGAAACUCAAACUCA